AUCACAACCCAUAUCAUUUCAACUGUCCUGAAACAGAAGGAAAAAAAAUGCUGAGCAAGCUACUAAAAAUUUGAAAGAGGGUGGCCUGUGAGUUUUUCUACUUCUUCACCCAGGGGGAUUUUGAACCAGAUGAGGCACUGUAUGCAGGAAACCUCUGGGUCAGCUCUGAAGCAGAUUACAUGAAUUUAUCAAAGGAUCUCCUGUUCUGGAAGCUGAUGGAUUCAUCAGGAAUAUUUUGCUCUGAAACACUCUACUGCAUGGAAAGGCCUCAACAUAGCCUGUAUUUAAACUUCUUAGACACAGGUCACUUUAUAUCCUAGAUGUAGUGACUUCCAACUUGGACCCCAAAGCACAAGAGACUGUAGAGCAGAAAUUCCACACCCGACUGACAAGAACCACUUGAGUGCAAGAGGAGCUCAAGCCACCUUGGGUCCAAGCAAAACUAACAGAUCCCCAGAUCCCAAGGUACUACAGCAACAUGAAUGAUCCUGACAAGGGGAGGAGCAAGAGACCGUGGAGUCCUGCUUCCCCAGGACACCGGCAGCUGAAAUCCACUAUGGACAACACUGAAAUAAGUGCUGGUCGUUUUUUGUUACUGGAGGACGAGUGUCUGGGGGUUGGAGGGCAGUGCAAUCAGGCUGAGUGCUUCAGGCCAGAUGCUGAGGAAAUGCUGUCAAACAUGGAUGGUCUGAGCAUGGGGGAUACCUUUCAAAAUUUUGUGCAAGUCCCACCCUGAUCAUUAGGGAAGACCUACCAGUAAGUUUGUACUUCCUAAUGUUAUUUAUCCCUGACAUUAUCAUCCUUUAUCUAGCUGUAUUUUUUCAGCUUUUGAUUGGCUUUUCUCCACAGGUUUGAAGUUAUACAUAUGUAAGAGAGGUGUGUCUGUACCUAUAUCAGCAGAUACA